rnacentral:rRNA from 8 species
GGGUUGUGAGGUUAAGCGACUAAGCGUACACGGUGGAUGCCCUGGCAGUCAGAGGCGAUGAAGGACGUGCUAAUCUGCGAUAAGCGCCGGUAAGGUGAUAUGAACCGUUAUAACCGGCGAUUUCCGAAUGGGGAAACCCAGUGUGAUUCGUCACACUAUCAUUAACU